UAGGGAAUCUUCGGCAAUGGACGAAAGUCUGACCGAGCAACGCCGCGUGAGUGAAGAAGGUUUUCGGAUCGUAAAACUCUGUUGUUAGAGAAGAACAAGGACGUUAGUAACUGAACGUCCCCUGACGGUAUCUAACCAGAAAGCCACGGCUAACUACGUGCCAGCAGCCGCGGUAAUACGUAGGUGGCAAGCGUUGUCCGGAUUUAUUGGGCGUAAAGCGAGCGCAGGCGGUUUCUUAAGUCUGAUGUGAAAGCCCCCGGCUCAACCGGGGAGGGUCAUUGGAAACUGGGAGAAUUGAGUGAAGAAGAGGAGAGUGGAAUUCCAUGUGUAGCGGUGAAAUGCGUAGAUAUAUGGAGGAACACCAGUGGCGAAGGCGGCUCUCUGGUCUGUAACUGACGCUGAGGCUCGAAAGCGUGGGGAGCAAACAGG
rnacentral:rRNA from 1 species